rnacentral:snRNA from 1 species
GUGCUCACUUCAGCAGCAUACAUACUAAAAUCAGAAUGGUACAGAGAAGAUUGGCAUGGGAUGACAUGAAAAUUCAUGAAGCGUUCAAAAGAAAA